rnacentral:rRNA from 1 species
CUUGAUGUGACCCAGAAGGCUAAAUGAUGCGCAGUGUUGGAUGUCUGCGUUUUCAUUCGUAGUCACGAUGAAAGUCGUGAUAAGGGAUGAAGGGAGCUGCGACCACGGUCAAAGUAAAGUCAUUGAUGCCAGGCUGGCGAGAAAAACCAUCGUAGUGAGUUUCAUAGUCGAUCGUACCGUAAUCCGACACAGGUAGAUGCCCAGAAUAUGGGAAGGCGCUCGAGAGAAAUCUCUUUAAGGAACUAGGCAAAAUAGCCCCGUAACUUCGGGAGAAGGGGUGCCCAUGGGGUGAAGUCCAUCACGGACGGAGCUCUUAUGGGUCACAGUAAAGAGACCCGGGUGACUGUUUAGUAAAAACACAUCACUCUGCGAAGUCGCAAGACAAUGUAUAGGGUGUGACACCUGCCCGGUGCUGGAAGGUCAAGAGGAGAGGUCAAUCGUAAGAUGAAGCUUCGAAUUUAAGCCCCAGUAAACGGCGGCCGUACCUAUAACGGUCCUAAGGUAGCGAAAUUCCUUGUGGGGUAAGUUCCCACGCGCACGAAUGGUGUAACAACUUGGGUGCUGUCUCAAAGAGAUACUCGGCGAAAUUGUAGUGGCGGUGAAGAUGCCGUCUUCCCGCACCAAGACGAAAAGACCCCGGAACCUUUACUGUACCUUGAUAUUGGAUUUGGAUUCUGUUUGUGUAGCAUAGGUGGGAGCCUUUGAAGUUCCAGCGCUAGCUGGGAUGGAGGCAUUAGUGAAAUACCACCCUAAUAGUUUCUAGAUUCUAAUCAUAGCCUCUGAAGCGAGGCAUGUGACAGUGUCAGGCGGGCAGUUUGACUGGGGCGGUUCCCUUCUAAAGUGUAACGAAGGGGUCCAAAGGUCUCCUCAGGCCGGUCGGCAAUCGGCUGUAGAGUGCAAGUGCAUAAGAAGGCUUAACUGUGAGUCCGACAGGACGAACAGAUACGAAAGUAGGGACUAGUGAUCCGGUGGUAGAACGUGGGAUUGCCAUCGCUCAACGAACAAUAGGUACUCCGGGGAUAACAGGCUGAUCGCGCUCGAGAGUUCAUAUCGACAGCGCGGAUUGGCACCUCGAUGUCGGCUCAUCCUAUCCUGGGGCUGUACAAGGUCCCAAGGGUCCGGCUGUUCGCCGGUUAAAAGGGUACGUGAGCUGGGUUUAGAACGUCGUGAGACAGUUCGGUCUCUAUCUGGUGUGGGCGCACGAUGAUUGAAGAGGAGCUCUCCUUAGUACGAGAGGACCGGGAGAGACGAACCUCUAGUGUUCCAGUUAUCCUGCCAAGGGUAAUGGCUGGGUAGCUAUGUUCGGGAGGGAUAAACGCUGAAUGCAUAUAAGUGUGAAGCCCACCUCAAGAUAAUUCAUCGAUUCCCUUCGGGGAUGAAGGCUCCUGG